AGCAGCCGCGGUAAUUCCAGCUCCAAUAGCGUAUAUUAAAGUUGUUGCAGUUAAAAAGCUCGUAGUUGAAUUUCGGGGUCAGUAGGCUGGUCGUGCUACGGGUAUGUACUGGUCUUACUGAUUCCUCCUUCCUGAUGAACCGUAAUGCCAUUAAUUUGGUGUUGCGGGGAAUCUGGACUGUUACUUUGAAAAAAUUAGAGUGUUUAAAGCAGGCUAACGCUUGAAUACAUUAGCAUGGAAUAAUGAAAUAGGACGAUCGAUCCUAUUUUGUUGGUUUCUAGGAUUGACGUAAUGAUUAAUAGGGAUAGUUGGGGGCAUUAGUAUUCAAUUGUCAGAGGUGAAAUUCUUGGAUUUAUUGAAGACUAACUACUGCGAAAGCAUUUGCCAAGGAUGUUUUCAUUAAUCAAGAACGAAAGUUAGGGGAUCGAAGACGAUCAGAUACCGUCGUAGUCUUAACCAUAAACUAUGCCGACUAGGGAUCGGAUGAUGUUAAUUUUUUAAUGACUCAUUCGGCGCCUUA
rnacentral:rRNA from 1 species